AAUGAAAUUAGUGUAGAAAAAUAUAAAUCCGACAUACGACCAGAUCGACCUACGACCUGUCAGUCGGAACGUAACUCGGUCUCAUGUUGAGAGAAAG